rnacentral:lncRNA from 1 species
UGCAGCGGAGGCGAAACGACCCCGAAGGCCGUUUUAACGACGGAGCACUAGUCCCUGAAACUGUAGAGGCCAUUUAUUAUUGAGUAAUUGACUAAUUAUGUAGUAAUCAGUAGGAUAACGACGAUGACGACAACGCCAACGGCGGUGACGAAGAGGAUGCAGAGAACAAAAUGUACAAGAGAAGUUUGGUAUGGUGGGAUGAUCAACAAGUGGUGGUAUUAUUAUAGAGGGCUGGUGCGCGUGUGGCCGGCGUUUUGGUAUUAUUUUAUUACUUAUUUGGAUGUGUUUUUAAAAUGACUAAAAGCGUUUUUUGUGAAAAUGUUUUUGAAAUCAAUCCUUAGUAAAAAUGCAAAUAAAUUUUGAAAAGCAUUUAAAGUGCUUCUUGAAAGAAGCACAUAACUAGUGCUUUUGAAAUCAAAAAAUAUUUUAUUUA